CAACAAUGGAUUUAUACAAAUUGGCAGCAUGACAUUAACGCAAUUUGACAUAAUCCAUUUAGCAUUAAUCAUUUUCAAAACAAAAACUUUUCAAACUGACAUACCCAUGGCGAAAUGAUAGUUUUGGGUAUUACAAGGCACAAGGCGGUAAAUAGCAGUUCGGGGAGGUAAAUUGGUAGGCAAGGUAAAAGUAGGGCGUCCAAAGAAUGAAAAAGUAGUGGCUGGAGUGAGGCUAAAACUAACUUUUUGCUGUGAACCUAUAAUAAUUAGACAGUUAAAUUUAAAAAAAUCGCCGAUGUUUGCUAAAAACUCUUUAACUUUUUUAAAAUGUGAAGACUAACCAUUAUUUUGCAAUAAGCCAAAACCUGAAAACAAAAAUAAAAUGUUUCUCCUUUUUACCAGA